rnacentral:rRNA from 1 species
GACGAACGCUGGCGGCGCGCUUAACACAUGCAAGUCGAGCGAUGAAAUCUUAACAGAACCCUUCGGGGUGAAGAUAAGACGGAUUAGCGGCGGACGGGUGAGUAACACGUGAGUAACCUGCCUUUUACACAGGGAUAGCCUCAGGAAACCGGGAUUAAAACCUGAUGAAACUAUCAAAUCACAUGAUUCAGAAAGUUAAAACUCCGGUGGUAAAAGAUGGACUCGCGUCCCAUUAGCUAGUUGGUGAAGGUAACGGCCCACCAAGGCAACGAUGGGUAGCCGGCCUGAGAGGGUGAACGGCCACAUUGGAACUGAGAAACGGUCCAAACUCCUACGGGAGGCAGCAGUGGGGAAUAUUGCACAAUGGGGGAAACCCUGAUGCAGCGACGCCGCGUGAGCGAAGAAGGCCUUCGGGUCGUAAAGCUCUUUUAUAUGGGAAGAUAAUGACGGUACCAUAAGAAAAAGCCCCGGCUAACUACGUG